rnacentral:rRNA from 1 species
GGGUUGUGAGGUUAAGCGACUAAGCGUACACGGUGGAUGCCCUGGCAGUCAGAGGCGAUGAAGGACGUGCUAAUCUGCGAUAAGCGUCGGUAAGGUGAUAUGAACCGUUAUAACCGGCGAUUUCCGAAUGGGGAAACCCAGUGUGAUUCGUCACACUAUCAUUAACUGAAUCCAUAGGUUAAUGAGGCGAACCGGGGGAACUGAAACAUCUAAGUACCCCGAGGAAAAGAAAUCAACCGAGAUUCCCCCAGUAGCGGCGAGCGAACGGGGAGCAGCCCAGAGCCUGAAUCAGUGUGUGUGUUAGUGGAAGCGUCUGGAAAGGCGUGCGAUACAGGGUGACAGCCCCGUACACAAAAAUGCACAUACUGUGAGCUCGAUGAGUAGGGCGGGACACGUGGUAUCCUGUCUGAAUAUGGGGGGACCAUCCUCCAAGGCUAAAUACUCCUGACUGACCGAUAGUGAACCAGUACCGUGAGGGAAAGGCGAAAAGAACCCCGGCGAGGGGAGUGAAAAAGAACCUGAAACCGUGUACGUACAAGCAGUGGGAGCACAGAGCAAUCUGUGUGACUGCGUACCUUUUGUAUAAUGGGUCAGCGACUUAUAUUCUGUAGCAAGGUUAACCGAAUAGGGGAGCCGAAGGGAAACCGAGUCUUAACUGGGCGUUAAGUUGCAGGGUAUAGACCCGAAACCCGGUGAUCUAGCCAUGGGCAGGUUGAAGGUUGGGUAACACUAACUGGAGGACCGAACCGACUAAUGUUGAAAAAUUAGCGGAUGACUUGUGGCUGGGGGUGAAAGGCCAAUCAAACCGGGAGAUAGCUGGUUCUCCCCGAAAGCUAUUUAGGUAGCGCCUCGUGAAUUCAUCUCCGGGGGUAGAGCACUGUUUCGGCAAGGGGGUCAUCCCGACUUACCAACCCGAUGCAAACUGCGAAUACCGGAGAAUGUUAUCACGGGAGACACACGGCGGGUGCUAACGUCCGUCGUGAAGAGGGAAACAACCCAGACCGCCAGCUAAGGUCCCAAAGUCAUGGUUAAGUGGGAAACGAUGUGGGAAGGCCCAGACAGCCAGGAUGUUGGCUUAGAAGCAGCCAUCAUUUAAAGAAAGCGUAAUAGCUCACUGGUCGAGUCGGCCUGCGCGGAAGAUGUAACGGGGCUAAACCAUGCACCGAAGCUGCGGCAGCGACGCUUAUGCGUUGUUGGGUAGGGGAGCGUUCUGUAAGCCUGCGAAGGUGUGCUGUGAGGCAUGCUGGAGGUAUCAGAAGUGCGAAUGCUGACAUAAGUAACGAUAAAGCGGGUGAAAAGCCCGCUCGCCGGAAGACCAAGGGUUCCUGUCCAACGUUAAUCGGGGCAGGGUGAGUCGACCCCUAAGGCGAGGCCGAAAGGCGUAGUCGAUGGGAAACAGGUUAAUAUUCCUGUACUUGGUGUUACUGCGAAGGGGGGACGGAGAAGGCUAUGUUGGCCGGGCGACGGUUGUCCCGGUUUAAGCGUGUAGGCUGGUUUUCCAGGCAAAUCCGGAAAACUAAGGCUGAGGCGUGAUGACGAGGCACUACGGUGCUGAAGCAACAAAUGCCCUGCUUCCAGGAAAAGCCUCUAAGCAUCAGGUAACAUCAAAUCGUACCCCAAACCGACACAGGUGGUCAGGUAGAGAAUACCAAGGCGCUUGAGAGAACUCGGGUGAAGGAACUAGGCAAAAUGGUGCCGUAACUUCGGGAGAAGGCACGCUGAUAUGUAGGUGAAGUCCCUCGCGGAUGGAGCUGAAAUCAGUCGAAGAUACCAGCUGGCUGCAACUGUUUAUUAAAAACACAGCACUGUGCAAACACGAAAGUGGACGUAUACGGUGUGACGCCUGCCCGGUGCCGGAAGGUUAAUUGAUGGGGUUAGCGCAAGCGAAGCUCUUGAUCGAAGCCCCGGUAAACGGCGGCCGUAACUAUAACGGUCCUAAGGUAGCGAAAUUCCUUGUCGGGUAAGUUCCGACCUGCACGAAUGGCGUAAUGAUGGCCAGGCUGUCUCCACCCGAGACUCAGUGAAAUUGAACUCGCUGUGAAGAUGCAGUGUACCCGCGGCAAGACGGAAAGACCCCGUGAACCUUUACUAUAGCUUGACACUGAACAUUGAGCCUUGAUGUGUAGGAUAGGUGGGAGGCUUUGAAGUGUGGACGCCAGUCUGCAUGGAGCCGACCUUGAAAUACCACCCUUUAAUGUUUGAUGUUCUAACGUUGACCCGUGAUCCGGGUUGCGGACAGUGUCUGGUGGGUAGUUUGACUGGGGCGGUCUCCUCCUAAAGAGUAACGGAGGAGCACGAAGGUUGGCUAAUCCUGGUCGGACAUCAGGAGGUUAGUGCAAUGGCAUAAGCCAGCUUGACUGCGAGCGUGACGGCGCGAGCAGGUGCGAAAGCAGGUCAUAGUGAUCCGGUGGUUCUGAAUGGAAGGGCCAUCGCUCAACGGAUAAAAGGUACUCCGGGGAUAACAGGCUGAUACCGCCCAAGAGUUCAUAUCGACGGCGGUGUUUGGCACCUCGAUGUCGGCUCAUCACAUCCUGGGGCUGAAGUAGGUCCCAAGGGUAUGGCUGUUCGCCAUUUAAAGUGGUACGCGAGCUGGGUUUAGAACGUCGUGAGACAGUUCGGUCCCUAUCUGCCGUGGGCGCUGGAGAACUGAGGGGGGCUGCUCCUAGUACGAGAGGACCGGAGUGGACGCAUCACUGGUGUUCGGGUUGUCAUGCCAAUGGCACUGCCCGGUAGCUAAAUGCGGAAGAGAUAAGUGCUGAAAGCAUCUAAGCACGAAACUUGCCCCGAGAUGAGUUCUCCCUGACUCCUUGAGAGUCCUGAAGGAACGUUGAAGACGACGACGUUGAUAGGCCGGGUGUGUAAGCGCAGCGAUGCGUUGAGCUAACCGGUACUAAUGAACCGUGAGGCUUAACCUUACAACGCCGAAGGUGUUU